rnacentral:rRNA from 1 species
UACGGAGGGUGCAAGCGUUAUCCGGAUUCACUGGGUUUAAAGGAUGCGUAGGUGGGUUGGUAAGUCAGUGGUGAAAUCUCCGUGCUUAACAUGGAAACUGCCAUUGAUACUACUGAUCUUGAAUUUUCUGGAGGUAAGCGGAAUAUGUCAUGUAGCGGUGAAAUGCUUAGAUAUGACAUAGAACACCAAUUGCGAAGGCAGCUUGCUACAGGGAUAUUGACACUGAGGCACGAAAGCGUGGGGAUCAAACAGG